rnacentral:lncRNA from 1 species
AGACAAUCAACAUCUUCACAAAACUUCAUAGAAUGUUAUUGAUUCAAAAGUCUUUAUAUAUAUAUUCUGUACACACUUUAUUAAAGAAAAACAUCACUCAUAAUUGCUUAGAUACAUAAAAAAUACAGAUGAAAGUCUUACAUAAACAGUACAUCAGAGCACAUACAUUGAUCAUGACAUCAUGCACACAACUAAAAGCAAUGCAUACUGUACAUCCAAGUGAGCAACCCUUGGUCAUAUCCUUUCCUAAAGGGACUCCCUGCUGUGAAAAUGGAAUUUCAAAUGGGGAAUACUCAAUCUGUAUUAAAAUAGGAAAUAUAAGAUACAAAAAGAAAGUAGGCAUUUUUGCUUUGCCAACUAAAU